GACGAACCGUGCGAACGUUUGUUCGGAAUCACUGGGCUUAAAGGGCGCGUAGGCGGGCUGUCAAGUCUGGGGGUGAAAUGCCGCGGCUCAACCGUGGAACUGCCUUAGAUACUGACGGCCUCGAGGGAGAUAGGGGCAUGCGGAACUGUAGGUGGAGCGGUGAAAUGCGUUUGAUAUCUAACAGGAACUCCGGUGGCGAAACGGCAUCUGGAUCUCUUCUGACGUGAGGCGCGAAAAGCUAGGGGGAGCAAACGGG
rnacentral:rRNA from 1 species